UACGAAGGGGGCUAGCGUUGCUCGGAAUCACUGGGCGUAAAGGGUGCGUAGGCGGGUCUUUAAGUCAGGGGUGAAAUCCUGGAGCUCAACUCCAGAACUGCCUUUGAUACUGAAGAUCUUGAGUUCGGGAGAGGUGAGUGGAACUGCGAGUGUAGAGGUGAAAUUCGUAGAUAUUCGCAAGAACACCAGUGGCGAAGGCGGCUCACUGGCCCGAUACUGACGCUGAGGCACGAAAUCGUGGGGAUCAAUCAGG
rnacentral:rRNA from 1 species